UUGGCUGAUAGAGAGUGAGAGAGCAGAGGGGGAGGGGUCAGUCAAAGUCCCUUUUCGGUUCUCUCCAUAAACUCACGCGCUCACGUGCGUGCACUCAUUCUAGCACAGGGCGCCAUCGUGUGCUGAGAGGACCGCGGAGGGACGCAGUCUCCUCCGCCAUCUCCCCUUUCAUCGCCUCCAUCGACGAUGCAGUCGGCCUCAUCUCGCGUGCCGCGGAAGCCGGCGGCGGCGAGUAGCCUCGGCAAGCCAAGCAGCAGCGGUCGCUGCGGAAAACCGAAUCGUCCGCAGCCCACUAGCUCCUUUUCCAAGACCGCGCAGCCUGGCACGGCGGGACGUUUCGGCACCUCCACCGCGUUGGUGGCGUCGACGGCGGCGUCGCACUUCACCGCCGGUGCGCGUGGGCAGUCUACUCCGUUUGUCGGCCAGGCCGACAGAACGGGGCGGGAAGGAUCCGUCUGUGGCCUCCGCGCCCCGCAGAACGGUGCCACAGGUGCGGCCGCCCACACCGAAAAGCGCCAAGCCGCCAGAACGAAGGUCGUCGACGACGCCAGCGCCCCAGUCGUCGUUGUCGGCCCUGAGCGAGACUCGGUGCCCUUCCGCCUUUGCUGCGAGGCCUUGGCGGAGGGGUGUGUGCAGACGUAUAUGCAUCUCUUCGAGCUAGCCCACCGCGACCCCGUCUGCGUCGACACGCUCUCGCGAAAGUUCUUCAACGUCCCAGAUGACCGCCUCGCGUGGGUGCAGCAGCAGCUGUCCGCCGUGGAAGUCCUUCGCCGGCAGAGCGAGUUUGAGCAAGUGUUCACCCACUGCGAGCAGCUCGCCAACUAUUUUGAGAGCGAGGGCGACUACGCCGAAGCUGCGUGGUACCACGAAAUGGCGCUGCAUUACAUGAUGGAGUCACUUGAUCGCACCCUUGAGCAGCGCGCCCGUCACGUGUACGCCACAUUUCAGGAGCGGCAGGGACACUUGGAGGAGGCGGCCGCGCUCUACGACGCCAUGUACCGCCUCGCCGUCGCCCUCCGUGAUGAAGCCGCACUCCAGGACGCAAGCCGCUGCCUCGUGCGGGUGCAUCAAGCCCUCGGUGAGGCCCUAAAGUCCAGCGACCCUGCCGCUGCAUCGCGGCACUACGCGACGGCUGCCGAAGCCGCGGUGCGUGGCAAGAACGUCGUUGAUGAGGGUGCCGCCUACUCGGCCCUUGGCGAUGUGAGUGAGGCGCGCGGGGACCUGCCGCUGGCCCUCAAGUACCAGCGCAGCUGCCGCGCCGUGGCGCAGCAAAAUGACCUGAAGCCGCAGGAGUGCCAGGCGACCCUGCGUGUGGCCGACCUGGAAGAGCGGCUGGGGCUUAAGCUAGAGGCAUCCACUACCCUGCACGAGGCGCUGCAGUUGGCGAAGGAGCUUGGGGCGCCACGGCAGCUCUGCAUCGCCACCAUGCAGCUAGGCGAGGCGUACCGCAGCCGCAACCAGGAGGACGAGGCUCUGCAGUGCUUCGACGAGAGCUUCGCCGCAGCAAUAGAGGCAGGGGAUCAGGAACUCAUCGACACCGUCCGCAUUGCCAUGGGCUUCGCGCGCGGCGACUACUACCUCACCCACGCCUAUGGCGGAAAGGGCUACCUGCACCUCGUCUACACGGACAUCCGCGCGCAGCUGGCGUGGAUGAGCGGUGGCACGCUGUGACGUGGCUCGCUUGCUUACGUUGGGUAGAAUUGAAGCGAGGACGCCAGUGGUGGUUGAACGCGUCUUCGCUCGCUCCCCCCCCCCAUCCUCCGCUUCUUGGCUUGCUCAUGUGCUCCGUUGUGUGUGUGUGUGUGUGACUUCCUUGAUGUACAACGAACAUGUACCGUAUAUUGAUCUCUAUGAGGUCCUUGGUGUGUGCGCGAGUGCGUGUGCGUACGUAGCCCGCGCGCAUGCCUGUCUAUCCCGCCCGCGGCCCCCCUCCCCCUUCCUCCUUUUGCGUCUUCCUCUCUGGUUUCGUGCUCUCGAUGCUACAGGCGCUUUACUCGGACUCUG
rnacentral:misc_RNA from 1 species